CUGUCCUAACAUCCUCAGUGCUGCCAACCUUACUGCUUCCUGUCAGUUAGUCUUUAUAUCAAAGCGGUUCGUGUUCCUCCUUAGUCCUUCCUCUCGUCUCGGUCAGCUGCGAUCUUCCUCGUGACUCUGGCGUCUUCUUCAGUCGUCUGUUUUAUUUCCCGGACUCGUGAGAAUAUAUAAUUCAAGGUGAGGGUAGAAGCUGUCGGGAGCGUCUGUUAGGACGUGGUCUGCGGACGAGAGGGAACCUUCUCUGAAGGGGAGUGUACGUAGCUGAUCCGCGACAGUAGUGUGACGACGGCGUCAGUCGUCUGUGCUUGGGAUUCAUCCAUCAGGAGAUGACGGCUGGUCACCAAGUGUUAGGUGGGUACCGACAGUGAAGCAACAGUGUGUCAUAACACGAGACGAUACGUUAGAGACGGUGAGGUACACAUUAUAUGAAGAGGAGAAUGAAUGGUUUUCGUAACAUCUUAGACUAGAGAAGAUUUGAAGUAUCAUCUGUAGCAGUCUCCAGACAAUAUAAGGAGUGUCUUGACUAUAAACACGUCCAGUACGUGUAUUAAGUGUCUGCUGAUAUCAAGGAACCUCUUGUGGUACUGUACUGUAUUUAAAACAACUUUAUAUUUGCACAACAUGGCUCGUAGCAGCAUUGAAGUUAGUGACGUCGAGAGGUAUGAGAGUCGUUCAGUGAACUAUAAAAACGUGAAUAAGAUAGUUUUAAACAAUCAACUAGUAAAGCCAGACUAAGUCGCUCAAUGAAGAGUUCAAAGUAUAUAUGUUUGAAAUCUAUACAUUUGUAUCAAGCUCCGCUACAGGAACAUGUCCCUCAUAAUGAGAUCUAAGAUUUUCGCGAGUAUUCAUUUAAAUGAAACUAGUAU